ensembl:lncRNA
AAACACGCAAGCUGUAUUACCCUCACAUAGCCACUAGGAAGCAGGACCGAACAUAUAAGCCGUAAAUACUGUACAUAGCCACAAGGGGAGCAAGACCUUACUGAAGGCUGCUCAUUCCACAGAAGGCACCACCCAGAGUGGUAGAUAUAACAGAGUGGCAACACUUCCAUUGGACUCCGUUGUAGCGCCUACUUCCGGGGUAUGGAGCCUCGAAUAGUUCCAAACAACCAUUUUACUGUGUAGGAGACCAUUCAUUUCCAUUGCUGGCCGCCGAGUAACUUCUGAGAAAUUAGUGUGACUGCUGAUGCUGUUGGUGGAUGCUGUUGGUGGCUGCUGGUGUUAGCGGCUGACGACGGCUGCUGAUGGUGGUGGCUGGUGCUGGCGUUGGCUGCUGGUGGUGGCUGCUGGUAGAUGCUGCUUGUUGUGACUGCUGGAAUAAGAGGAGGCUGGGGGCUGCGGAUGGUGGGCCAGGAAUGGAGAGGCCAAAUACAUCCAUGGCAAUCAGUAAGCCGUUCGGCAGUGGCCUAGAUGUUAUGACCUUAGCUCAUGGCAUGAGGGAAGGUUGCUGUCCAGACCCAUGGCCUCUCUUUCCUGCUGUGCCACUACAUUGGAACACUGCAUGAGGGAAUCACUCGUCUGAGAACGGAACAGCUGCUCCACGUUCUGCAGGAGAGUGAACACCUCAUCGGAUUGCCGGUUUAAUGCACCCCUUACAAAUUAUUUUAAUUCCAGGAAUACAGCUCUCUCACUUGCGGUAGUGGUGACUUUUUCCACCAGUGCACACUUGCAUUCAUCACAGAGUGAGAAGCCGAUAACCCUCUUCACUAUGUAUCCUGCUAGGUGGUAGAGGACACAGGACUCGGUCUUUGUCAUGUCAGGUGGUAAUGGGUCUACCAGCUGCUCCACUCUCACAACCUCAGAAGCACUGCAGCUGCUGUUCUGGGUUUCCAGGAAGUCCGCCAAGUGGUCUGAUGCAUCAUCCAGAUAACUGCCAAUCUUGCUGGACCUCCUGAAUUGUUCUUGUGGCCAUCACCAGUCCAGUCUGGACUGGUUUCCAGCUGCCCUGGGGACCGAUCUUCAGGCCCGGAAAAAGAUGGAUCGAGUCGCGGAGGAAGCUGAUGGCCUUUUCAUACUCUCCCAUCUUGAAAUGACUGAGGGCACAAACAACAUUGCGGGACGACAUGAGGUCAAACCAGUGGUCCAUCUUCUCCAAAAACCAUGACGUUGUAAGCUUGGCCACUGGUGGUAGCAACCACUUCCUCGUCACUGCUGCUCUCUUCAUUCCCCGGAACACCUUCACCGCCGUUGCCCACACUGCCUGCGUCUCCUUCAGCUUCCUCCUCCUCACUGUUGCUCCUCUCACCCUCAUCUGCAGGGAUCAGAAUAAGCCAAUAGAAAAUCUACCAGCCAACACCAAAAUUAAGAGUUUGGUUCCAAAAAGCUAUCUAUCCAUCUUUGAAAAUAUUCAAAAGUCAUGUAUUUGGAAUGUAUUAUUUUAGAAAUGUUUGACCAGAUUUUAAUUAUGUAUAAAUAAAUCAAGUACAACUGUAGGCCUAAUGCAUAUCCACUGAUAUAUCUAAAACACAAAAUGUAAAUAUAUAGACUAUGUAUUUCUGAAAAUGAAUGAAAAUGGCUUCUAUAGUGUUCUGGAAACAACCUCUUCUAAUUUACCAGCAUUGGCUGGUGCUAAUUUUGAAUCCUGUUUCACCUGGCUUGGCAACAUCCUCAUUACUGCUGCUCCUGUCCCUUUCACUGCUGCUCUCAUCACCUGGCCUUGGCACAUAUUCCUCAUCGCUGCCUGCACUGUCACUCAGACAACUAUCCUCACUGUCUUGUGGGAGUGCCCUUACGUGCGGUUGCGCGCUUGCGCUCUUGCCGUAAAAAACGGAGGGUUUCAUUCAGGUCUACAGAGAAAUAAAUGGCAGUUGUAUUCGCAUCCCAGCGUAGUGUCAGUAUAAUGAUUAUCUGAAAUAACUUAGCAAAAUACAGUGGAUUCCCUAGAUAAGCCGCCCAAAAAGAGUUUUACUAAUUAGCGCUGGUUAGUGGUUAGCAUUAGGCUAACGGCCUACUGUCGCUAAUAUGCUACAAAGCUAAAUAUGAUAAUAACUUCAAAAAUACGAAUCACACACAUUUCACCUCAUUACGUCAAGUGUAUAAGCACACAAUAAGCAUGUGAGUAUUUUUAUCUAACCACAACUUACCUUAAAAUUAACACAGGAUUGAACUUCCCCAACUCCUAUCGUGAGCAGCAUAACCGGAUUUAUCCUUGUACGUAAAGAGUUAACAGGUCCGUCACUUUGCGGUCCCACGGGAAACAACUGCUUGUCGAAGGUUCCUAGGUCCGUAGCGAAUAUGCACUAACCGGCAUUGGGGGAAUGCAGAUGCUAUCUUGGCUGGUUGACUGACUAAAACAGUUUGUUGCAUAUUUGUGACACCAG